rnacentral:rRNA from 1 species
AUAUCCAUUAUGGAAAAUUCAACAUUAAUAUUAUAAUAUUUAUUUAUAAAUAUUAUGAAAAUAGUGUGCAAUUUUUCCAUAUAAGGACAUUGUAAUCUGUUAAUGUAAUAAAUAUUUAUCAUAAGAUUCAAUAAUAAAAAGUUUAUUCAAAUUAGUUAUUUUCGAAUUUCUAACAUAGAAUAAAUUUAUUGAAUUUGAUAAAUCAUUGACAGAUUUAUUAUAUAUAAUGCUAAAAAUUUUUUUAAAUUGAAUUUUACAAUAAUUAAUUAAUUUUAUUAAUUUUUUUAUUGUAUGCAUUUAUAUGAUUAACAAUGCUAUAGAUUCAGGAUACCUUCGGGACCCGUCUUGAAACACGGACCAAGGAGUCUAACAUAUGUGCAAGUCAUUGGGUAUUUUUAAUAAAACCCAAUGGCGUAAUUAACUUAACUGUAUAUAUGUUGGGAUUAGUUUAUAUUUUAUAAUGAAAUAUUAAUUCAAUCCCGGGGCGUUCUAUAUAGUUAUGUAUAAUAAUAUUUAUAUUAUUUAUACCUCUAACUAGAGCGUACCUUUAGCAUAUAUGCUGUGACC